AUUGAACGCUGGUGGCAGGCCUAACACAUGCAAGUCGGACGGUAGCACAGAGGAGCUUGCUCUUCGGGUGACGAGUGGCGGACGGGUGGGUAAUGUCUGGGGAUCUGCCCGAUAGAGGGGGAUAACCACUGGAAACGGUGGCUAAUACCGCAUAACGUCGCAAGACCAAAGAGGGGGACCUUCGGGCCUCUCACUAUCGGAUGAACCCAGAUGGGAUUAGCUAGUAGGCGGGGUAACGGCCCACCUAGGCGACGAUCCCUGGCUGGUCUGAGGCGACGACCAGCCACACGGGAACUGAGACACGGUCCAGACUCCUACGGGAGGCAGCAGUAGGGAAUAUUGCACAAGGGGCGCAAGCCUGAUGCAGCCAUGCCGAGUGUAUGAAGAAGGCCUUCGGGUUGUAAAGUACUUUCAGCGGGGAGGAAGGCGAUGUGGUUAAUAACCGCGUCGAUUGACGUUACCCGCAGAAGAAGCACCGGCUAACUCCGUGCCAGCCGCCGCGGUAA
rnacentral:rRNA from 1 species